rnacentral:rRNA from 1 species
UUUGGAAUUUACGUGGACUGCCGUUUACCGCCAAACGAAGCGAGAGACCAGCUUAGCUAUAUGAGAGGUGAGAGUAGAGGGAGGGCACGGGCUGCUUUAGGGGUGGAAUCGGAGAGGAAGGAGGCUUGGGAUUGGGGUCGGUACGGGGGGCCGCGCCGCCGGCGGCGGUUUAGGCUACUGCUCCUGCUGAUGCUCCUCAUGUAGGGGCAGAGGUUCGCGUCCCGGUACCUCCGGCUGGCGGAGGCGGUGGUCGCGGAGAGGUUCGGGCGGCGGCGGCGGAGGCGCCCGAGGGAGGGUGGCGGAGGCGGGGGCGGCCGCCGGUUGGGGCGGCGGCGGGGGCUACUGCGGCGGGGGCGGCGGUUCGGAUCGGAGGAGCAGUGCAGGUGCGUCGAGUUCGCGCGCCGGGGCCUCCAGUGGCGGUGGCUCGUCUAGUAGGACGUCCUCUUCCUCUACUAGCUGUUGGAGAGGUUGUUCUUGUGCGAGUACAGGCACGCCCUCGAGCGGUUCCCGUAGUGGAUGUGGCUCGGCGAGGCGUGGCCGACCUUCGGCGGCGACGCCGAGGCGGCGUACGGCGCGUGGUUCCGGCUGCUCGAGGCGGCGUUCACCGUGUAGGACCAGCUUCCUCUGCUCUAGGGCGGCGGGCGGGCGCUGAAGGCACUGGAGGCGAAGGGGCUCGGGCAGGAAGCCUACGAGGCGCUCUUCCCGUAGCACGUCGGGUGCGGGUAGGUCCACGUCCCCGAAGGGCACCACGAGAGGCCCGCCCUGUACUAGCCGUAGCGGAAGUGGCCCAGGCCCUUCUGAGACCACAAGCACGACGGGGAGUAGUACCACCGAGACGUUCUCCUUUACAACUACGGAUAACACGGACCCCUCCCGGGCAAACCGUACUAGUAAACGGGUAGUGCCCUCGACCGGUUCGUCUGUAUACUACAGUAGCUAUACAAGGAGUGAGGUGAGUUCGUCCGACCCAAGGGUCUUUAUGCUGGUAACGAAACGUAACCCCCAUAUCUGUACUCCUGUGUUGACCUACACCACUUCUUCCCGCAUGUAUAACACCACCGGUGUGGACCCGCCGAGUUCCUAGAAGAGCGGUUCUUCUUCUACUUGGAACUGUUGACGUCCAUAAAUUGAAAUCUACUUCGACUAUCCGAACAACUAGAACCUAAACUUCUACUGUAAGCCCUCCAAAAACUGGUAAAGUUCCGUGUUUCCGUUUGGGAAGAAAAAAGACGGUGAUACGGGUUCUUCUAAGUCUUGAAACGUUUCUCGCGGGAACAUUUCGGUCAAUAACAGUUACAACCUUCUCGACCUCGUCGUUUAGACCUACAGUAGGUUCUUCAACUCAUACAGUUCCUUCUACGGUCUUAAUAUAUGGAGGAACUUACGGAAGUUUUCUGAGGUGGAGGACAAGAAUAUAAAACACUUUUGUUUCGACUACAACUGAUGUAGGUGCUCAUAGAAGAAGAUUUCCCACACCUUCGACAACGUUAGGUGCCUCCGUUUCUAGUCCUCCUCUCUGUCUUACGCUAACUCAAGAAGUUCUUACCUUUCUUCCUACAAAACCACCGAUGACUACAACGGAGUUUCCCAGAACUGAAGGGACUAUAGGUCGUGCACUAAUUGAUACUGUACGGACGGCUUUAUCUCUUGAUACAGGUGUCCUAACCAGCUUGGCCAGCUACGCCCUUUUGCCCUUAUCGUUGAUGCAAGUAGUUGUUCUUGGUCUGUCUCUGAUGCGAAGAACUGGAGUUCGUGGACGAGUUCCUUCGCUUCGUUUCUUAUGGUGGUCACGAACGACUCGAGCAACUGGGCGACCUCCUACGACUUCGAUAACGGUUCCUCUCACCACAGUUUCCUACACGUAAGACACCACCGGAACCCGUAGCAGAACGACUGACAGGUUUCGACCUCGUGGUCUUCAGGCACCGCUAGCGACCGAGGUCUUCUCUAAUGAUGCCGCCACCUCCAAUGGCACCUCUUUAUACUAAUGUAGUAGUAUAAUAAUUCUCACAUACGAAAUAGUUCUCUCCUCAUUGUCUCUCACUCCCGACACUUCGACAUUAUCAAUAUAACCGGCAGAAAAAAAAAACCUACCUCCUAUAACCGUAGAAAAUCCCUCGAACCUGCUCGUAGUGUGAUCAAACUAAAUAACAAUUGUCGAACUUUCAAGUCUUGUAGACGGUACCUUUAUAUGUCCAACGAACUGAACAACG